UUAGAGCUAAAAUCAUCUUUUAAAUUUUAAUAAAAAAUUACUAUCAAAUCCAAUUUACAAGAUUUAUUACAAAAAAUUGACCAUAAAUAUAAACAAUGUAACCCAUCUCUUCUUAAGUAUAAGCUACAUCUUGACUUGAUUUUUUUUCACAAAAAAUUAUGAAUAUUAAAAUUCAACAAAAAUAUUCAAUCUACAGCGAUAUAUAAGCUAAAAACUCAAGUAAACAAAAUCGUGGAAUAUCAAUUACAGGACAGGUUCCUCUGAACAGACUAAAAUACCGCCAUCUUUAUUAAUUUUCAAGAACUUAGCUACUAAUAAUCUAGG
rnacentral:rRNA from 1 species